CUCUGGGGCCCCGACGCUUUGCCUUCAACCAGCCGGUACUUUUAGUGGAGAAACUGAGACCCUACAGUGGAGGGAUCUUGGCGCAGAUUCACUCAGACCCCGAGGAGUCUUACUAUAUCGCUCCUGCUGUUCUCCACCUCCGGGGAUCAAACUGCCCACGUCAGCUUCCGGAAUCGAAGGGAAGAUAGAUGUGUGUGUGCUACCCACCUGGCAAGCCCUAAAGUUGAGAUGUGGAAACGUGGGUGCACUGAAUGUCUGUUCUACUAAAAGAGUGUUGUUCUUCUGACCUUGGGAUGAAUCGCUUCCCUUCUUGGGCCUGUUUAUUCAAGUUAAUGUGAAAUAAUUCCCUUUAACAUUAGUUAUCUUUCCUACUUUUGUUGUAGGGUUGUUUGUUGCUUGGUUCUGAGAUAGGUUUCACCACCACACUCCAGCCUGCCUACUUUUGAAGUUUACUUUUCCUCCUGAGCACACAGACACUCACUCAGGUGUGGAGGUCAGAGGACAGCUUGCACGAGUUGGUUCUCUCUUCCCAUCAUGUGUGUCCUGUCCUGGGGAUUGGAAUGAGGAGGCUUGACAGCAAGCGCCUUCAUCUACUGAGCCAUCUUGGCAACCCUAAAGUAUACUUUAAAAAAUAUACUCAGGAGGCAGAGACAGGCAACUCUUUGAGUUGGAGGCCAGCCUCAUUUACACAGUGAGUGGGACAGAGCUACAGCUUGAGACUUUUAUUUAUUUAUUUAUUUAAAAUGAUUUUCGGGCUGGAGAGAUGGCUUACCAGUUAAGAGAAGAAAGCAUACUCGCAUNNNNNN
ensembl:antisense Gm15417 predicted gene 15417